AGAGUUCAUUGGCAUGACGGAUCCACCAUUUGUUAGACGACCACAUCUGCACUUAAGGAGCUGUUUGAUACUUCUCAAUCACUAUCUACCUUUUGUACAGAGCCACCAAAUCUUCAUUAAGACGUGAUGAUUCCAAGAACAAAUCUUCACAGUUGUUGAUAUCGACAGUCUCCAUCUCAAAAUCGGGCUGAGCAUAAUUCUCACUCCACUCGAACCAUAACUUUGCAAUAGACUCCUUUUUAAAACAAGUUGUAUGAUCUUCCUCCUCAGGUGAAUCUGAGGCCACCAAUCUGUAAGUGUAUACUUUCCUCUCCUGGCCUGGUCGGAAUGCACGUCCUAUUGCUUGACGGGUUACUGAUGGGUUGAGAUGCACAUCCAAUAUGAUAAUCCGCGAUGCCCCGACAAGUGAUAUUCCUUCACCACAUGCCUUAAUUGAACCAAAGAAAACACGAGCAUCCGGUGAAGUGUUAAAUCGCUCCAUUGAGGACUCCCUGAUGUCCCCGUCUGUAUCACCAGUGAUCAUAAAUAGUUCCUUCCCCAAACUGUAACCCUUAGUCUUAACAGUCAACCUCUCCAAGAAUUUCAAAGGCAAGAGGUAUUGGCUAAACACUAACAUUUUUUCACCUUUUGUU
rnacentral:misc_RNA from 1 species